rnacentral:rRNA from 1 species
GAAUUGACGGGACCCGCACAAGCGGUGGAUGAUGUGGUUUAAUUCGAUGCAACGCGAAAACCUUACCCACCUUUGACAUGGCAGGAAUCCCGAAGAGAUUGGGAGUGCUCGAAAGAGAACCUGCACACAGGUGCUGCAUGGCUGUCGUCAGCUCGUGUCGUGAGAUGUUGGGUUAAGUCCCGCAACGAGCGCAACCCUUGCCAUUAGUUGCUACGAAAGGGCACUCUAAUGGGACUGCCGGUGACAAACCGGAGGAAGGUGGGGAUGACGUCAAGUCCUCAUGGCCCUUAUAGGUGGGGCUACACACGUCAUACAAUGGCCGGUACAGAGGGUAGCCAACCCGCGAGGGGGAGCCAAUCCCACAAAGCCGGUCGUAGUCCGGAUCGCAGUCUGCAACUCGACUGCGUGAAGUCGGAAUCGCUAGUAAUCGCGGAUCAGCAUGUCGCGGUGAAUACGUUCCCGGGUCUU